UACGGAUUCGACAGGGGUAGGUCGAGCUCAGGCUGCGUGUCGAGGUUACGGCUCGUAAAACGUUACGCCUAAAUAUAACUGGCAAAACAAACAACAACUACUCUCUAGCAGCUGCGUAAGUAGUACUAGAGGAUCCUUGCUGCUAUCGCCCAUGUGGCAGAUUUGAGGGUCUCAACUUAAAGUGGGCUACGCCAUUAUCCUCGGCUUGCGGAUAAUCGGAAGAAGACAAUCAAGCUAGCCUCGCUGAAAGCCUGUCGUUAGGCCGAAGCGUGCGCGAAAUAUAA
rnacentral:misc_RNA from 1 species